rnacentral:lncRNA from 10 species
CACAGUGUGCACCUGUAGAUGGUCAGCCCAGUUCUUUCAGCUGCACCACCAGAGACACCCUUACUGACAGAAUAGCCUCUUCCCUCUGUGCAAAAUUUCUCUCUGUGCACAUUUUGAUGAUCUCCCCACCUCCCUCAUUUGAUUUCGGCUGUGCUUGUUGUUAUAAUUGUUUUACAAGUGUAUGUACAAACAGUGUGCUACCUCUUUAAAAUUUUCUAAAUACCUUGGGAACUCAAGCUUUCGGAGGAGGCUUCUCCAGCCACCUGUGGCUGCAAAACUGUGUGUGAAAACUUGGAGACUGUCAGGAGUGGAAGGGUGAUGUGUCCUGGCUCCCCGCCGUUCUAGAAUGAUAGGACAUUGCAAUAGCAGCAAAUUUGGAAAUCGUGUCUGACUUGGAUACUUUACUGAUGCAGAAACUGGAGUGUGGAGAAGAUUAGUGAUCUCACGUUCACCAGAAUUUGCCUUAUUGUGUGAUUUAGAGCUCAUCUGCAGUAUCUCCAAGAUCCCAGAUGCUGCCACAUUCCUUGCAAUACAGCCCCUUCCACUAUCUUCAAGGUCCUAGCCUGAGUCCUUCCUUGCUCAAUGAGGAGUCUAAAGACCUUUCACGGCUUUGGAGUUAAGAGGGUGAAAGUAGAAUGAGUAAAAGAUGACAAAUUCCUACCUUUGCUUUCCACAUUAACCACUGCUUGAAGAUAUCAACAUGUCGGCCACACUGAAUAGUUUUAUCCGCCGUGUCAAAGUCAACAUUGUAGAGUUUACCUGACUGGAAAAGAUAUUCAGCUUGCAUCUGAUUACAUGCAUCUAGAAGGCCCUAAAAAAGGAAAAACAUAUCUAACAUCCUUUUGUCUCAUAUGAAAAAUGUGGAAAACAUUCCUCCUCAGUGUUAAAGACUUCAAGAAGCUUUCCUUUGGAAGAUUAAGAAAUAAUCACUAGAAAAGGACAUGUUACCCAUCAUUGAGACAGAAAUGUUUUCUCAGUAUGUAUGUUGCUUCAGCACAUCAAAACCUAAAUUUAUGUGCAUUGAUGGGGUAUAAUUUAAAUGUUAAUUAAGCAGAACUAUUUGUACAAGAGGUAAAUAACAUUAUAUGUAUUUAUGUGUUUGCUAUAUGCUUUCCAUUUCACAUUACAUCAUUUGAUCCUCAUGGAAAACUGAUGGUGUAGGUACUAUAAUGACAACAUUUUUAUAGAUUGAAGAAACUGAGAAUAUUAACAUGUUAAGUAAUUUUCAAGAACAUAUAUCUAUACAAUGAUGAAUUUGGGAGCUGAAAAAAGGGCAGUUUGACUUGAGGUUUGUGGAAACACAACAUCCUAAGGAAGAUAACUCACACUCUGUUUCAGGCUAGGCUUGUGGAUCUAUAGGAAGGACCACAAUGUGACGGUCAGUGUUGAAGUAUUUCAGGGAAAUAGAAUAGAAAUUAUAACUCAAAAAUGAAAAUAGUUUAUGAAUCUGUAUUUUGGGUGUCCUAUUUACACAUGUAAAUAUUUUCUUCUUAGGCUCUUUUGAACCCCCUUUUUAAUCUUUUGUUAGAGCAGGCCUAGAGACUAUUGUAAACACUUUAAAACAGUAUCAUCAAGAUGAGUUUCUGCACAGCAAAAGAAACUACCAUCAGAGUCAGCAGGCAACCUACAGAAUGGGAGAAAAUUUUUGCAAUCUACUCAACUGACAAAGGGCUAAUAUCCAGAAUCUACAAUGAACUCAAACAAAUUUACAAGAAAAAAAACAAACAACCCCAUCAAAAAGUGGGCGAAGGAUAUGAACAAACACUUCUCAAAAGAAGACAUGUAUGCAGCCAAAAGACACAUGAAAAAAUGCUCAUCAUCACAGGUCAUCAGAGAAAUGCAAAUCAAAACCACAAUGAGAUACCAUCUCACACCAGUUAGAAUGGCGAUCAUUAAAAAGUCAAGAAACAACCGGUGCUGGAGAGGAUGUGGAGAAAUAGGAACAUUUUUACACUGUUGGUGGGACUGUAAACUAGUUCAAUCAUUGUGGAAGUCAGUGUGGCGAUUCCUCAGGGAUCUAGAACUAGAAAUACCAU